rnacentral:rRNA from 1 species
UUCCGGUUGAUCCUGCCGGACCUGACUGCUAUCGGAUUGAUACUAAGCCAUGCGAGUCAUUGUAGCAAUACAAGGCAGACGGCUCAGUAACGCGUAGUCAACCUAACCUAUGGACGGGAAUAACCUCGGGAAACUGAGAAUAAUGCCCGAUAGAACACUAUACCUGGAAUGGUUUGUGUUCCAAAUGAUUUAUCGCCGUAGGAUGGGACUGCGGCCUAUCAGUUUGUUGGUGAGGUAAUGGCCCACCAAGACUAUUACAGGUACGGGCUCUGAGAGGAGUAGCCCGGAGAUGGGUACUGAGACACGGACCCAGGCCCUAUGGGGCGCAGCAGGCGAGAAAACUUUGCAAUGUGCGAAAGCACGACAAGGUUAAUCCGAGUGGUUUGUGCUAAACGAACCUUUUGUCGGUCCUAGAAACACCGAUGAAUAAGGGGUGGGCAAGUUCUGGUGUCAGCCGCCGCGGUAAAACCAGCACCUCAAGUGGUCAGGAUGAUUAUUGGGCCUAAAGCACCCGUAGCCGGCUCUGUAAGUUUUCGGUUAAAUCUGUACGCUCAACGUACAGGCUGCCGGGAAUACUGCAGAGCUAGGGAGUGGGAGAGGUAGACGGUACUCGGUAGGAAGGGGUAAAAUCCUUUGAUCUAUUGAUGACCACCUGUGGCGAAGGCGGUCUACCAGAACACGUCCGACGGUGAGGGAUGAAAGCUGGGGGAGCAAACCGGAUUAGAUACCCGGGUAGUCCCAGCUGUAAACUAUGCAAACUCAGUGAUGCAUUGGCUUGUGGCCAAUGCAGUGCUGCAGGGAAGCCGUUAAGUUUGCCGCCUGGGAAGUACGUACGCAAGUAUGAAACUUAAAGGAAUUGGCGGGGGAGCACCACAAGGGGUGAAGCCUGCGGUUCAAUUGGA